rnacentral:rRNA from 1 species
UACGUAGGCAGCGAGCGUUGUUCGGAGUUACUGGGCGUAAAGAGCUCGUAGGCGGUUCAGUAAGUCGGGUGUGAAAACUCUGGGCUCAACCAGAGACGCCACCCGAUACUGCUGUGACUUGAGUACGGUAGGGGAGUGGGGAAUUCCUGGUGUAGCGGUGGAAUGCGCAGAUAUCAGGAGGAACACCGGUGGCGAAGGCGGGUCUCUGGGCAGUAACUGACGCUGAGGAGCGAAAGCGUGGGGAGCGAACAGG